CAAGGUUUAGAAGAGAAUAAUGAGUGAUUGACUCGUCUAAUAUGCAUGUCUAUAUUUAGUAUUUUAUUUAUAUAUUCCCUUCCAUCAGUCCAUGUUUUUAAAAGGGGUGUAACCAACCAUUUUACAGGCUUUAAAAGUUGCACUAGGACAGAUUAGGAUUUGUUCCAGACUCGAAGGAUUAUUGCUGAAGAAAAAAAAUAUAAGCAAUGGAGACUCUCCUGAGGUUCAUGCCCAAAAGGUACGAAAUUUUUUUUCCUACAGGAGUUUAGGAAAAAGGAGAACGUAACAUGGAAGUUGUAUUAUCUUGUAUGAAAACCUAAUUAUAGGAAGGAUUGGUU
rnacentral:lncRNA from 1 species